CUAUGGUAUGUACUGGCUUUACUGAUUCCUCCUUCUUGAAGAACUGUAAUGUCAUUAAUUUGGUGUUGCAGGGAACCAGGACUGUUACUUUGAGAAAAUUAGAGUGUUUAAAGCAGGCUAACGCUUGAAUACAUUAGCAUGGAAUAAUGAAAUAGGACGUUCGAUCCUAUUUUGUUGGUUUCUAGGAUUGACGUAAUGAUUAAUAGGGAUAGUUGGGGGCAUUAGUAUUCAAUUGUCAGAGGUGAAAUUCUUGGAUUUAUUGAAGACUAACUACUGCGAAAGCAUUUGCCAAGGAUGUUUUCAUUAAUCAAGAACGAAAGUUAGGGGAUCGAAGACGAUCAGAUACCGUCGUAGUCUUAACCAUAAACUAUGCCGACUAGGGAUCGGAUGAUGUUAAUUUUUUAAUGACUCAUUCGGCGCCUUACG
rnacentral:rRNA from 1 species